rfam:Ovis aries breed Texel chromosome 3, whole genome shotgun sequence.
UCCCUAGUGGCUCAGAUGGUAAAGCGUCUGUCUACAAUAUGGGAGACCCGGGUUCAAUCCCUGGGUUGGGAA